rnacentral:rRNA from 1 species
UGCAAGUCGAGCGCGGGAAGCCGGCGGACUCCUUCGGGAGGAACCGGUGGAACGAGCGGCGGACGGGUGAGUAACACGUGGGCAACCUGCCGGACUGAUGGGAAUAACCCCGGGAAACCGGGGCUAAUGCCCAAUACGCCCUGACCUCGCCUGAGGUCAGCGGUAAAGCAGGGAUCUUCGGAUCCUUGCACAGUCCGAUGGGCCCGCGGCGCAUUAGCUAGUUGGAGAGGUAAGGGCUCCCCAAGGCGACGAUGCGUAGCCGACCUGAGAGGGUGAUCGGCCACACUGGGACUGAGACACGGCCCAGACUCCUACGGGAGGCAGCAGUAGGGAAUCAUCCGCAAUGGGCGAAAGCCUGACGGUGCAACGCCGCGUGAGUGAUGAAGGUUUUCGGAUCGUAAAGCUCUGUUGACAGGGAAGAACCCACGUCAGUCGAACAGGCUGGCGUGCUGACGGUACCUGUCCAGAAAGCCCCGGCUAACUACGUGCCAGCAGCCGCGGUAAUACGUAGGGGGCAAGCGUUGUCCGGAAUUAUUGGGCGUAAAGGGCACGCAGGCGGUUUCGUCAGUCCGAUGUGACAGGCCACGGCUCAACCGUGGAAGGCCAUUGGAAACUGCGAAACUUGAGGACAGAAGAGGAGAGUGGAAUUCCACGUGUAGCGGUGAAAUGCGUAGAUAUGUGGAGGAACACCAGUGGCGAAGGCGACUCUCUGGUCUGUACCUGACGCUGAGGUGCGAAAGCAUGGGGAGCAAACAGGAUUAGAUACCCUGGUAGUCCAUGCCGUAAACGCUGAGUGCUAGGUGUUAGGGGUUUCGAUACCCGUAGUGCCGAAGCUAACGCAUUAAGCACU